rnacentral:rRNA from 1 species
UACGGGGGGGGCAAGGCGUUGUUCGGAAUUACUGGGCGUAAAGGGCUCGUAGGUGGCCAACUAAGUCAGACGUGAAAUCCCCGGGCUUAACCUGGGAACUGCAUUUGUGACUGCACGGCUAGAGUGCGGCAGAGGGGGGUAGAAUUCCACGUGUAGCAGUGAAAUGCGUAGAGAUGUGGAGGAACACCGAUGGCGAAGGGCAGCCCCCUGGGUCAAGAUUGACGCUCAUGGCACGAAAGG